AUUAGCCCACAGGUUUCUACAAUUCUAAUAUCUCAUAUUUAAAAUAUUAAGAAAUUAUGAUAGAAGUUGUGUAUGUAUGACAUAGUAAUAAUCUGAUUCAUGUUUGUGCAAAAUAAACAGCUCUAUCUUGACUUUCCCCGCUCUACGGUUUGUGGAAAACAUAAUACAGGUCCAGACCUGUAAGGAGAAUCGGGAUAAAUUUGAGGAAAAGUUGAGGAACACAGAUGCAGAACUGCCGUUGAUGGGAGCCACUCUUCAGAACAUCACGGCCUGUCUGAAAGUAUUUAAUUACCUUCACACAAGUGGACUGUACAACGCCCUCCACCUGCAACAGCUGAACCAGGAACUCACAGAAAUCCAUCAAAUUGUCAAUGAAACACACAUGCAGAACCCCAACAAAGAGACCAGAACCAUACCAAAUGAUUUCCGAAGCACGUGUCAUGAGCGCAUCAUGACCAGAAUAAGUUCAUCAAGUGUCACCAAGCUCAAUUAUAUCAGCAAGUCCUAUAUUUCUGGUGCUUGGGGUCGUGAUGCCCUUCUAACCAACAAGGAAUGUUAUUGGGAACACUGUCUGGUAAGUGGACACAAGCAUGGCAACACAAUCAGGGUGUAACUUCAGCUGGUCGUGUUAAUUUCCCAAAGCAGGUAUAUGAUGAUCAGACACUUUUACUCCUGGCAACCAAGAGAGCAACUCUCAAAAAAUGAAAUUCAUAAAUAACUGUAUAUAAGACAGAGGUACAAAUAAACAUGCAAUUCCCAAAAAUGUGAGAAUUGACAUCAAACAAUUAACAUUUGUCUUUUUCAAGUCUGCAAUAUAAGGUACAAAGCUUAUAAUGAAACCAAUGCAACUUAUAAAAGUUUGUUUUUGUGAAUUGUGG